CAGCCACUCUAAUUAAAACAGCUUACCAUCACGUAUAUUAAGCACCCCACAUUUUAAAAUGGCCAUUGGAACACUUUAACUAAAGCUUAUUCAAUGAGCUUUAGUUAAAGCACCCCCACAGCCAUUUUAAAAUGCGGAGGGUAGGUUCUUAUAACACAUGACAGUGAGUCAAUGCUGGACCAUUUUAAUUAGAAUAUGGAGCAGACUCAAUUCAUUGAGCCUGCUCCAAUGUGUUAUAAUUAGAACACAAACCAGCAUGUCUAUAGGCUGCCCUAGUGCUUAAGUGUAGGUAAUGUAUAAAGAGACACCUCACACCACCCACAUGGCUACAAGGGGGGCAGGGUCAGAAAUACUUCAGGGAUGGAAGGAGGCUUUUCCCAGAACAUCUAGCACAGUCUCUGAUGAUUGGAGGCAUGUCAGUGUUCAGAGGCUGAAGACUUGAUCCUGACCUGGUAUCACCCAAGCUACAGUCCAGGCCACCAAGUAACACUGGUUUGCACAACUGAAAAUCUGUCUCUAGAAAAGCUCAUUUUAGCUAAUCCGCCUAUCCCUUGUGCUUCCAAGAAUGGGUGUGGGAUUAGAAAUUGGGCAUGGAGAACAUCAUGGGAACCUUACCUCUGCUGGGUAGUUCCAGGUCAAUGACUUCCAUUGUUCAAAUUUGCCUUAAACAAGCUUUCCUUCUCUCACGCGCUGAGUAGCUCCUAUCGUGAAGGUGUCCAGAGCCACUCAAGUCACCAGGUCCAGGAUCCAGGAAAAAGUUGAGCCAACAGCCUUUGUGAUGUAAGCACCACUAUGACAACUAGGUGACCAUGUCCUACCUCAUAGGUGGCUGCUGACCAAUGAGGGGCUGUGUAUCAUGUAAACUUUCAUAGGGCUGCAUAAGUCUCCAGAUACAAGUAUCCCCAGAGGCUAAAUUUGUUUUUAUGUAGAAUACCUUAGUCCCUCAGAUCACCUGGGAGUUUCCUGUCUUCUCCAGAUGCAGUGUACUUUCCAACACUGAUUGAUUAUUUAAAUCUGCCCAUGGUUGGAUUUGUAAGAAAUAAGAACAGGGAGGAACCCGGAGAAGCUUCCUUUCACUUGCUAGUUGCUUGGCCUCCUUUGUUUUUGCAUCUUGUCAUCCAGAAGGGCUUGUUGAAGCCCUAAGAUGUUAUAGGACUGGGUUGCAACCAUCUUGUCCAUCCAGCCUGCCAAAUGCACCCUGUCCACAUGGGUCCUGGGCCUGUCUACAUGGAGGCCCCACCUAUCCCCUCCAAUCCAGUGCCCCCAGUGGUGGGUGUGGGGUGGAUGGUUGCCAUGAAAUCUACUCGAGAAGUCGAUGAUUUGGGACUUUAAAAUUUGGCCCAGCUGGAAUCUCACACAAAUGCCUCAUAAGGUAGAAAAUCUGUAAAUAAAGGUACUCUUGUUUCCCUCCCAUGUCGCUGCCAUAUCCCCUAAACAUUAGUUAUUUAACUCAUACACAACUCCUAUGAUCACUAUUCUCAAUUAGCAGAUGAGGAUGGAGAGGCAAAGGGAGAGUAGGUGGUGGGUCUAAAAGACAUGUGCUGGUGCAGGGGACUGAAUCAAGACCUCUUGAGUCCCUUUUCAGAGACCUCUGAUGUGUCAAACUCUCAUUGCAGAGGGUUCACUCUCACUUUUCCUGAGAAGCCUGUAAUUCAUGGAGAGGGAGGGAGCUUUUUCUGAUGAUACUAGAAUGGUUGCAUGUAUUGCUAAAUGAAUAGAUGUGAUUAAGUGCAGCGUGUGCCUGCGUACACUGGAGGACGUGCAGGACAAGUAAAAUAAAUAAGUGAUUGGAGGAAUUGUACAAGAUGGUGGAGCUGUUAUAUUUUUUUAUGUGAAUACAGCAUCUGGCUUAAUCAGGCUUUUUGCUUGCGUCAAAACACAGUGAGAGGCUGACCCCCCUCUGCACAGGGCUACCUGCAUGAGCACUUUUCUCUGAACUUAGCAACAGCAAUGUUUGUGACCUUAGAUGUGCUGUGUCUCAAUUCCAUAUCAGAGAAGUUAUGCCAAAUUUUGCCAUGCUAUUAAGGCUGGCUGUGUGGCAUCUUACAGGGUGCUGAGCACAAACGUCAGUCUUCUAAAAUAGUGCCUGCUAGUGGCAGGUCAGGCGUACAGCAUGUGCAGCAGUUUCCCUCCAUUAUUGCAUGCUUCUGGCUUGAAUAUCAGAAACAAACAUCACCCUUUCACUCCUGCUGCAGGUGCUCAGCCCCUCUGAAAACUAGGCCAUAAUCUUAACUCCUUUUAUAAAGAAAUGGGAUUUCUUUCACUUGUAUUCCUCUUAGCUCCUGCUCUCUCCUCAGAUUUAAAGAAGGAAGGAAGUCUGGUUUGGUGUCUGGGGUUAUGAUUCCCCUCUAGAGAAAAUGGAUUAAUAUUCUUGGUUCACUUCACACAGAUCUCUGGAGACAGGCGUCAGUCCCACCUUGGGACUGGUGUGAAACAAUACUCUGGAUUACCAAUCUCAUUCAGAGACUUGUUGUUGCUGUCUCUAGUCAUAAAAGACAUGAGGUAUACAGUGAUAUGGGAUGAUGAAAGGCUUUGCAUGCAGUUACCCAGCUCCCACAUCAUCUGAUCUGCCCUUUGGAUCUCCCAGUCCUUGGAAGGAGGGUGACCAUGAGUUCCUCCUGAUCCCACGAAAGCAAACAUGGUAAAAUGUCUGUGAAGAAGGCAAAUAUCAACCUUUAUUUUUGCUAUCAAAGAGGGGGAAUCACUUCACAACUUGAGGUGAGCAAUUGGUGGUGGAUCAUCUUGGGUCCUAAAACACAUGUGGCUGAAACCAUCCAUGUUGCCAGCAUCCGCUGGUUGUUUCAGACUUUGCUUUCUCUGAUACACCAGUGUUUUUACAGAGAGAUAAUUAAAAUACAAUCCAUAUCUCACCAUAAAUUCUUAUGGCAUGGCAAGGCAUCUGCAGCAUUUGCUGCAAGGGAGAUGUGUGAGAUCAUCACCAUGCACCCCGCCCACAUUUGAGUUUGCCCUAUUUGCCCUGCAGUAAAAUCACAGUGCUUUAUAGACACAAGGUUUCUGCAGCAGGAUGGUGAAUGGGUGUUAGCUACCUGCAGUGAAAACACACCUUUUUUACAAUUGGAGCUGUAGCACUUGAUAGGACAGACAUUAGUAGAAGCUACCCUGUCUGGGUAGUGAUGCACAAACAGGCACAGGCUGACAAAUGCUUGUCCUUUCAUUCCUCCCCAUGAUGCCAUCAGUUUCUUGACAUCUAAUGCACCUGCUGAUAGCCCUGGAUUUUAAGCUUUUGGUGGUUCUUUUCCCCCAUGGUCCAUGCUUAGGUAGGAAAAAACCUAGUGGGGAAUGAGAUUUGCAGGUUAGAGGGAUUUUUUGUCUUUGAUUGAUUUUUUUUCUUUGAUUGAUUUUUUUUAAAGCUAAGGCAAUGAGCGUGCAACAUGCCAGUAUCACAGCCUUAGAGAAUGACUCUGAUCAUGGACCUAUUGGUAAUGGAGCCCCAGCAGGCUACAGUGGAGUUAUGCUAAUUUACAUAUAUGCAGAGUGCCCAGUGCAAGGAGGCUCCUUUCUGAGCAAAGCUGCCACUGUUUCAGCAGUUCAAAUGGCAAGGAGUAUGCCGGAGCCUCCUAUCUGACUGGCUUACCCAGGCUAAUUGUCAAGCAUCUUUGCCUCCCCACCUGCCCUUGCCAUUAGGAAGACUUGCAGGGGCUUAGCAGCAGGACUGGACCCCCAUCAUCCCCAAUCUUUUCAUGCCAACACUUGAGGUGUUGUCAUGCUUUUAGCAACUUCUUUGCACAAACAGUUGAUGGGCAAAGCACUGGCAGGAAGGAGAAGAAUGAGGCGGAACAAGGGGACAACUAUGGCAAGCAGGAGUUUCCAGUCCACCCCUGCAAGAGAGAAUGCCACAAAACAGUUUGGUCACUGUAGACAGACGCUAUAAAUGAUAAUCCUCAGCUCUUACAUGAACUUUCCCUCUAGAGAUCCCAGGCAAUAGAAGUAUCACUUCCUUCAUUUGGCAAAGACACAGAGGUGAAGGGACUCAUUCAAGAUCACCCAGUAGGCCAGUGGCAGAGCCAAAGUGUCUUUACUCCUAAACUGGUACCCUCCCCAGCACUGGUGAAAAAGCGGGAUACUUUUUCACAGGAAAUUUUCAUUUUUCCUGGUCAUUCUAGAGGCCAAAAAUGUUCAGCCUCAAAUCAGAUUAUUUUAGCUAAGAUAUUUCUUUCACCAGAGAGUUCAACUUUUUGGAUGCUUAUGUUUCUGAUGAAGAAUUCAAAUGUUUCAAGGAAAGCAGAUACUUUUUUUCUGGUGGGGGGUUGGGGUGGGGGGGAGGACAGCCUCUCUUUCAGAGAGAACUCAGUUUUCUGGUGAAAAAGUUUAGAUAAAAAAUUUUCAGCCAGCCAUAAUUGCACCCAGUGGACAACGGUACUUCUGAAAGCCUUGCUCCUGGAGCUAUUCCUUUGGGAUUCAACAGCACAUACACUGGCUUGGAGAACUUGCUGUGUUUCAGGUCAAUGACUCUGAAGGAAGUCCAAGCGCUCAGGCAGUAAUUGCCACUGAAUGCUGUGGUGUCGAUCUCCACAUCCUCUCUCCCUUGUACUGCUUCUGAUCCAAAACAGGAAAGGAGAGGGUUAAGAACAAUUGGGGAUCUCUUCUCAGAUUUGGGAGUGGCUUCAUUCUUCCCCUUGGAAGUGUGGUGGCAGAGUGGUUAUAGUGUCUUCUUUGUCUCUGGAGAUUAUUCAUAUGAGGGAAAAAAUGUAGAUGAAAGCCAGUCAAAGGAGGAAACUGGGAAAGAUUCUAAGAAGGAUCCACCUCAGUGAAGCAGUAACAGGAAAGUAUGAAAUCAGUGCUCAAAGUCUUUUGAUGAUUUUGUCCAAAACAAAAGAUAAAACUACAACAUGAAAUAAAAACACAAAAGGACUAGUGUGCCAAAUUAAGCUUGACAUAAGUGUUCAACCUUUGUAUGCUGUAUGGUGAAAGAAAGGGUGAGAGUGUGUCUGUGGAAAAGGAAAACAUCGGCUGGUGAUUAGCUGAAGAGUGAAGACAGAUAAAAGACCAGAACAAGAAAAAUCCACCCCAAAACAGUGAGAGAACAAUGGCAAUUGACUUUCAAGGAAGAACAAACAGUAAUAACACAGCAAAAUCCCAGAGGACUGUGUGAAUUGACAAGGCUAUAAAAGAUGGGGUGAGACAUAUCAAGUUUGGCUCUUUUUCAGCAUGUCGUCUUGGAGCAUUGGUUCAUCUGAUGAGCUGGACUGGCAGGAGCCCAGCUCCUACUCAUGAUCAACUUGGCUGGCCACUAAAUUGAUCAAAGCACCGAUACGACUGGUAAUGUAUGCCAGCACAGAAUAGAAAUUGGGGUAUGGAUGUGCUCUGCGUGCGUGCGUGCGCACGUGCGCACGCACGUAUGUGUAUAUUACGCACUUAAUCAAUAAAGGUGGAACUUUGCCUUAUCCCCCUCAUAAGGUCUCGCUUGUGGUUUAAGCAAUUGGCAAUUUGUGCAACACCUGGGGGUUACGGCACUUUGCUGGGCACUGGGAGAUGCAUGUUCAAACCCCUCUGUGUGAGGAGUAUCUCAAACUCCCUGAACAAGUGCCCUAACUACUAGGUGAGAGGGCAGAAAGGUGGGGCCUUCCCCCUUUUCCGGUGAUUUACAACACUACAUGCCUUUUCAUGUGGAGUGGUAUAAAAAAAUCUAAGUGGUUCAUGAUACUACUCGCCCAUCUAAAGAUGGAGACGGGUUUGGGCCAUUAAGUGUCAAUUUCCUCAAGAAAGGUGCAUUAAAAUUAUACGUUCUGUUCCCAGUUAGAGUAGUUUGUCCAUUUAAAGUGACCUAGUAAGAAGUUUUGCUGUUAAUUCUAAAUAUAAAUGGUAAUCUACAGGGUGAUUUAGGAAGAAGUAAUGUAAACUGGGUAUCGUAAUCAACCAUAAAAGUAAUAAACAUGUAAACCACCCAUGAUUGCUUUUUAGUAAUGU